rnacentral:rRNA from 1 species
UUGGAGGGCAAGUCUGGUGCCAGCAGCCGCGGUAAUUCCAGCUCCAAUAGCGUAUAUUAAAGUUGCUGCAGUUAAAAAGCACGUAGUUGAAUUUCGGGACCAUCAUGUCGGUCGUGCCUCGGUACGUACUGGCAUUGUUGGUUUCUCCCUUCUGACGAACCAUGAUGUCAUUUAUUUGGUGUUGUGGGAAAUCAGGACUGUUACUUUGAAAAAAUUAGAGUGUUUAAAGCAGGCUCACGCUUGAAUACAUUAGCAUGGAAUAAUGAAAUAGGACGUUUGAUUCUAUUUUGUUGGUUUCUAGGAUCGACGUAAUGAUUAAUAGGGAUAGUUGGGGGCAUUAGUAUUCAAUUGUCAGAGGUGAAAUUCUUGGAUUUAUUGAAGACUAACUACUGCGAAAGCAUUUGCCAAGGAUGUUUUCAUUAAUCAGGAACGAAAGUUAGGGGAUCGAAGACGAUCAGAUACCGUCGUAGUCUUAACCAUAAACUAUGCCGACUAGGGAUCGGAUGAUGUUAAUUUUUUAAUGACUCAUUCGGCGCCUUACGGGAAACCAAAGUGUUUGGGUUC